AAUAACUUUUUGCUAAAAAAAAAAAAAAAAAGACAUUUUAAACUGAACACAAGAAUGGACUGUAAAUAACUGGAGAAAACCAAAAGAGCAUAACCAGUGCUCAAACUCCAAGUCCCAGAAGGCACAGCGCGCGUGACGAGACAUAUUGGCGGCAUUUCUCCUCUGUUGUGAUUGGCCUAUAGACAACUUUCUCAUUCUACUUGGACUGGCAAUGAUAUCCAACGGGACGACGCUGCGGUUACACGACAAAACAACCUCACAAUCAAGAAGACUUCUUUGGCAAGCCCCAGCGGAACGAAACCUUCGGGCGAGGAAAUCGAAAGGCGCAGCGAGGAGAGAAAAAAAUGCAAUGACAGGGCUCCGACCUGCAUGGAUGAUCUGGCAACUGCAAUCAAAGAGAGUUGGCACCAAAUUGAUGAAGAAUACUCAUCAAGUCCAUGCCUCAGAGACUGCAAGCUGUCAUAAAAGCCAGAGUGCAAGUCAAUGCAGACAUUUUGAAUAAGCGCUCGCAUAUGUCACGCAGAUGGAUUCACGCGCAGCUGACCACAGAGGAGGGAAUUCCCACUUUGGACCAGACAAAGGGACUAUUUGCAGGGAUUUGUCGUGGUGUGCGUGCAUGCAUGCGUACAGGCCCGGCUUGCCAAAGCAGUUUGACAACUUCCCAUUUGGUGAGUGAUUGCAUUUUUAUUUGUACCAGACAGGACACGACUGCACAUUUCCAAAUGCGACGUAGCAUAAAUAACACCAAUUUCCCGCUCGGCUUAAAUAAAAGAAAAUAAUAAAUAGAAAUAAAUAGUGGAAAUGAAGUUACAAACUGUUACAGUUCAUAUCAGGUGGUUUUGUCAUCUCCAUUGAGAUUGAAGCAGUUCUCAGUCACCGUUGUACGAUGAAUAAAAGGCCCGGAACGACCGUGUUUCCCAAUUGCUCGAAUAAAAAUAUUCGAAAAUAAAAUAUGAAUGAUGGAUUCAAGGGCGUAUUUGAACAUAGCCUCAAAAUUCAUUCAUUUGUUGUAAGGGCACCUGUUAACACCGUAGUUAAAAAAAAAAUAUAUAUAUAUAUAAAUUAAAUAUCAAUAAUUUAAAAAAUUAUAAGAUAAAAAGUAGAAAAAAAUAAAAAUAAUAAACUAAUUUAAGAAAUAAAAAUAUCUAAAUGCAAGCCAUCCCAAGCUGUAGUAAAAUAGUUAAAUAUAAUCAAUAAUUGUAAAAGUAUCAAAAUAUUUAUAAAAAAAAAAAAAGAUAAAAGAUUAACAAAAAUAAUACAAGAAAAUAAUAAGUUAAAAAAAAAAUUUUUUUUUUUUUUAAUAGAAAAUAUUCAAGUGGAGGCCACAACGAGCUGAAAUAAAAAAAUAUGAGAAAUUAUAUUAAUAAAUAAACUAGUUUUUUAAAAGAAGGUUCAAAUGUAGGCCUUCACGAGCCUUUUUUUUUUUAAUUUGACAAAAUAUUUAAAUUAAAAAAUUAUUGUAAAAGAAUAAAAAUUUUAUAAAAUAAAAUGAUAAAAGAUAAACAAAAACUAAUAUAAGAAAAUAUUAAAAAUUAUAAAAAUUAAAAAAAAAUAAAGAUUCAAGUGCAGGCUUUGACGACCCAAUUUUUUUUGUCAAUAAAUAAUUAUAAAAAUAUCAAAAUUGUGUAGAAUUAAAAAAAAUAAUGAUAUAUAUUAAUAAUAAAAAUAAUGAACUAAUUUAAAAAAAAAAGGAUUCAAGCGCAGGCCAGGAUAAGCCUAAAAAAUUAAAUAUAAAAAAUCAUUAUAAAAGUAUCAAAGUAAGGGAUUUAAAACAAAAAAAAACUUGAAUGAGGGAUUCUGGGGCAUGCCGUGAAUAAGAGUAAAAAAUGCGAUUUGAAAC